rnacentral:rRNA from 1 species
UAAAUCAAAACUUUCAACAACGGAUCUCUUGGUUCUGGCAUCGAUGAAGAACGCAGCAAAAUGCGAUAAGUAAUGUGAAUUGCAGAAUUCAGUGAAUCAUCGAAUCUUUGAACGCACAUUGCGCCCGCCAGUAUUCUGGCGGGCAUGCCUGUUCGAGC